AUUGAACGCUGGCGGCAUGCCUUACACAUGCAAGUCGAACGGCAGCACGGACUUCGGUCUGGUGGCGAGUGGCGAACGGGUGAGUAAUACAUCGGAACGUACCCAGUAAUGGGGGAUAACUAUCCGAAAGGUUAGCUAAUACCGCGUACGCCCUACGGGGGAAAGAGGGGGAUCGCAAGACCUCUUGUUAUUGGAGCGGCCGAUGGCUGAUUAGCUAGUUGGUAGGGUAAAGGCCUACCAAGGCAACGAUCAGUAGCGGGUCUUGGAGGACGAUCCGCCACACUGGAACUGAGACACGGUCCAGACUCCUACGGGAGGCAGCAGUGGGGAAUCUUGGACAAUGGACGCAAGCCUGAUCCAGCAAUGCCGCGUGCGUGAAGAAGGCCUUCGGGUUGUAAAGCGCUUUUGUCAGGGAGCAAAUCCUUGUGGCUAAUACCCACCGGGGAUGAGAGUACCUGAAGAAUAAGGACCGGCUAACUACGUGCCAGCCGCCGCAGUAACAC
rnacentral:rRNA from 1 species